rnacentral:rRNA from 1 species
CUUUUNAAGAAUUAACCCAACCNCCAAGCCAGAUAUUCAGAUAAUGAUUAGCUGAGCGAUGGACAACUUUUUAAAUUAUAUUUGAGAGUUUGAUCCUGGCUCAGGAUGAACGCUGGCGGCGUGCCUAACACAUGCAAGUCGAGCGAUCUCUUCGGAGAGAGCGGCGGACGGGUGAGUAACGCGUGGGUAACCUGCCCUGUACACACGGAUAACAUACCGAAAGGUAUACUAAUACGGGAUAACAUAUGAAAGUCGCAUGGCUUUUGUAUCAAAGCUCCGGCGGUACAGGAUGGACCCGCGUCUGAUUAGCUAGUUGGUAAGGUCAAUGGCUUACCAAGGCCACGAUCAGUAGCCGACCUGAGAGGGUGAUCGGCCACACUGGAACUGAGACACGGUCCAGACUCCUACGGGAGGCAGCAGUGGGGAAUAUUGCACAAUGGGCGAAAGCCUGAUGCAGCAACGCCGCGUGGAGCGUAUGAAGGCCUUCGGGUCGUAAAGCUCUGUCCUCAAGGAAGAUAGNGUCCCCNCNAGUNAGGCNCCNGGCCCCAGUGGNANCNCAANAGNNNAGC